GCAUAAUCAUUUGUCUUUUAAUUGAAGACUUGUAUGAACGGUUGAACGAGAAAAUAACUGUCUCUUUAAAAAAUCUUGAAUUUUACUUUUAAGUGAAAAGGCUUAAAUAAUUUUAAGGGACGAUAAGACCCUAUAAAUCUUCAUAUUAUUUUUCUUUAUCUUUCAAAUUAUAUAUUAAAAGAAAUAAAAGAAAAAAAUAUUGUAUUGGGGAGAUAAAAAUAUAAUUUUUAACUGUUUUAAAUGUAAAACAAUAAUUUUUGAUUUAUUAAAAUUUGAUCCUUUUUAAAGAUUUUAAGAUUAAGUUACUUUAGGGAUAACAGCGUAAUUUUUUUUGAGAGUUCUUAUCGAAAAAAAAGUUUGCGACCUCGAUGUUGAAUUAAAAUAUCCUUAUAAGUGCAGAAGCUAUAAAGGAAAGUCUGUUCGACUUUUAAAAUUUUACAU
rnacentral:rRNA from 1 species